rnacentral:rRNA from 1 species
UUUGACUGUACAAAGGUAGCAUAAUAAUUAGUCUUUUUAUUGGAGGCUGGUAUGAAUGGUUUGACGUAAAUUUAACUUUUUUAUCAUAAAUUAAUUGAAUUUAGUUUAUUAGUUAAAAAACUAAUAUGAAUUAAAGGGACGAGAAGACCCUAUAGAAUUUAAAAAGUUAAUUUUUUAAUUGGGGUGAUUAAAAAUUAACUUUUUUUUAUUUUAUCAUAUUUUAUGGUUUAAAGAUCUUGAAUUUUAGAUAUAAAGAUAAAAUUACCUUAGGGAUAACAGCAUAAUUUUUUUUGGAAGAACAUAUUUAUGGAAAAGAUUAUGACCUCGAUGUUGAAUUAAGAUAAUUUUUUAAAGCAGAAUUUAAAAAAUUAAGUCUGUUCGACUUUAAAUUUUACAUGAUUUGAGUUCAAACCGGCGUGAGCCAGGUUGGUUUCUAUCUUUUAAAAAU